rnacentral:piRNA from 1 species
UACUGGAAUUGUGGGGAGCAAGG